AGCUUUCUGAAUCCGUGCUGAGAUUUCGUCAGACACCAACUCAUUUGGACUGAUCAGACUUCCAAGAUAAGUGAAGUU
rfam:Schistosoma rodhaini strain Burundi genome assembly, scaffold: SROB_scaffold0004600